AGUGAACGCUGGCGGUAGGCCUAACACAUGCAAGUCGAACGGCAGCACAGUAAGAGCUUGCUCUUACGGGUGGCGAGUGGCGGACGGGUGAGGAAUACAUCGGAAUCUACUUUUUCGUGGGGGAUAACGUAGGGAAACUUACGCUAAUACCGCAUACGACCUACGGGUGAAAGCAGGGGAUCUUCGGACCUUGCGCGAUUGAAUGAGCCGAUGUCGGAUUAGCUAGUUGGCGGGGUAAAGGCCCACCAAGGCGACGAUCCGUAGCUGGUCUGAGAGGAUGAUCAGCCACACUGGGACUGAGACACGGUCCAGACUCCUACGGGAGGCAGCAGUGGGGAAUAUUGGACAAUGGGCGCAAGCCUGAUCCAGCCAUACCGCGUGAGUGAAGAAGGCCUUCGGGUUGUAAAGCCCUUUUGUUGGGAAAGAAAAGCAGCAGGUUAAUACCCCGCUGUUCUGACGGUACCCAAAGAAUAAGCACCGGCUAACUUCGUG
rnacentral:rRNA from 1 species